rnacentral:rRNA from 12 species
UAUGAAUGUACGGUCCUGUGAGUGCUUGAUCCCAUCUGAUCUCAGAAGCUAAGCAGAGAUGGGCCUGGUUAGUACUUGGAUAGGAUAUGCUCUUGGAAGACCAGGGGCUGUUAAAC